GACGUAGGAGGCGAGCGUUAUCCGGAUUUACUGGGCGUAAAGCGCGUGCAGGCGGUUCGGCAAGUUGGAUGUGAAAGCUCCUGGCUCAACUAGGAGAGGUCGUUCAAUACUACCGAACUUGAGGGCAUCAGAGGAAGGUGGAAUUCCCGGUGUAGUGGUGAAAUGCGUAGAUAUCGGGAGGAACACCAGUGGCGAAGGCGACCUUCUGGGAUGUUCCUGACGCUCAGACGCGAAGGCUAGGGUAGCAAACGGG
rnacentral:rRNA from 1 species